rnacentral:lncRNA from 1 species
UGAUGAUAGCCAACCAUGAAUGAACACCUGUCUUCUGGACCUAGUGUCUUCAAGGCACUGACCAUUAUGCCUCCUACUGCAUUGCAGGUUUCCAGACUUCUGUGUACAUCUUGAUGUCGUGCUCUUCAAGGAGAUCUCCCAAAUGCUCAACUACAGUACUUGCCCACAGGACCAAUAAUUCCAGGAAGACUGAGGUGCUGAAACAUAUACCUGUCGGCCAUCAGAAAACCCUUUGUGCUUUAAGACCUCCUUUUCGGCACAGUUGAACCUUUGAAUUCCAGUAGCAUGUGCUAUCUUGCUGUCUUACUGUGGUCACCGUC